UACGUAGGGACCAAGCGUUGUUCGGAUUUACUGGGCGUAAAGGGCGCGUAGGCGGCUUGACAAGUCAACUUGUGAAAUCCUCCGGGCUUAACUCGGAACGGCCAAGUGAAACUGUCAUGCUAGAGUGCAGAAGGGGCAAUCGGAAUUCUUGGUGUAGCGGUGAAAUGCGUAGAUAUCAAGAGGAACACCUGAGGUGAAGACGGGUUGCUGGGCUGACACUGACGCUGAGGCGCGAAAGCCAGGGGAGCAAACGGG
rnacentral:rRNA from 1 species